rnacentral:rRNA from 1 species
UACGUAGGGGGCGAGCGUUGUCCGGAAUCAUUGGGCGUAAAGCGCGUGUAGGCGGCCCGGUAAGUCCGCUGUGAAAGUCCAGGGCUCAACCCUGGGAUGCCGGUGGAUACUGUCGGGCUCGAGUCCGGAAGAGGCGAGUGGAAUUCCUGGUGUAGCGGUGAAAUGCGCAGAUAUCAGGAGGAACACCAUGCGAAGGCAGCUCGCUGGGGACGUACUGACG